GUAGGUGAACCUGCGGAAGGAUCAUUAAUGAAAUCGACGUUCGGGAAAGGUUGUUGCUGGCCCCAUGGCAUGUGCACGUCUUUACCGGAUGUAUUCGUCCUUUCUUUACACCUGUGCACGAUCUGUAGCUAGGGAUGAUCACGGAGCCUGUCGGUUCCGAAUGCCCUGGCUAUGAACGUUUUUAUACCCUCUUAUAAAGUUUUUUUUUUUUUGAAUGUUUGUCCUGCGUGUAACAGCGCGAAUGAAAUACAACUUUCAGCAACGGAUCUCUUGGCUCUC
rnacentral:misc_RNA from 1 species